rnacentral:lncRNA from 1 species
AUGAUCAGACCUAGCCAGAGUGCGGCUAAGAAGGAUAAACAUUCCUUUCUGUUAAAAGAAAAUUUUAGUUUUUCAUUGCAAAAGCCCAAUGGCAGAGGAAGUCGGGGGAGGCCCAGCAAUGUUUCCGAAAAUCUCACAAAGAAUCUCAGGGUAUACGAUUUCCUGUCAGCAAGAAAACGUGCUGUUGUAAAAAGAAAAAAAACGGGCCGUGAGCAGCUACAAACCCCAAAAGGUCAGGAGAGCAGAUGCCUCCAACGUCUGUGUGUCUCUCGGCCGGCCGGGACGAGGCCAGCCAGCGGGGCCGGGAGAGUCCCCGAGUUUGCUCAGCGUCGCCUCCAAGUUCCCUGCCUGCCGGCCAGCCGGGAAACAACUGGUGGCGAUGUGCUCGCCAGCCUGCUUCCAGCUCGGCCUCUCCCUCCCAGCAGCCCUCGGUGCCUGCUGCGGCCCCCUCCCCACCUGCUCCUGCUCCGGUCACUCUGCUGCAGUCCCGGACACCAUUUUCCAGCUGUCUGCACAUGUGAGCCCUUAGGAGUACCACCCGCGCUGAACAGACUUGAGGCUGCCCCCUGGAGGUGUGCGGUGCAGGCGCCUGCUCAGUUCUCCGUGGGAGGGACCCACUUCAGGAGUGAUGGUUAGGGCUGCCUGUUUGACACAGUGGGACGCUGUUCAUAAUUCUCUUUAGUUAGGUAACGAAGAAGUCCACAUUGCCUGUAGAUCCUUAGUCAAACCUCCGUGCCCAACAUGCACGUGUUGCCUUGAAGUGAACUGUUCACAGAAGGCCUUUGGCCAGGUGUGGAGACUUUCGAGUCUCAGUUUCCUCAGCUAGAAAAUGGAGACAAGAAUGCUUACAUUCCCGAGUUCCACUGAGGCAAUGUCUGUAAAAUAACAGUGGGACCGAAAAGGCCUUACUAGAAGCUGGCAAUGAUACCGUAACAUUUGGUGUUGCAAUACCAUAGGCAGGUAAUAGCCCCUGUGUUCAGAGUUCGUGAAUAAAACAACUUCCGUGAUGUGAAAUGCA